AUUGAACGCUGGCGGCAGGCCUAACACAUGCAAGUCGAACGAGUGGCGGACGGGUGAGUAAUGUCUGGGAAACUGCCUGAUGGAGGGGGAUAACUACUGAAAACGGUAGCUAAUACCGCAUACCAUCGGAUGUGCCCAGAUGGGCUUAGCUAGUAGGUGGGGGAAAGGCUCACCUAGGCGACGAUCCCUAGCUGGUCUGAGAGGAUGACCAGCCACACGGGAACGGAGACACGGUCCAGACUCCUAUGGGAGGCAGCAGUGGGGAAUAUUGCACAAGGGGCGCAAGCCUGAUGCAGCCAUGCCGCGUGUAGGAAGAAGUCCUUCGGGUGGUAAAGUACUUUCAGCGGGGAGGCGGUACUCGCAGAAGAAGCACCGGCUAACUCCGUGCCAGCCGCCGCGGUAAUAC
rnacentral:rRNA from 1 species